GGCGUCAGGACGAACGCCUGGCGGCGUGCCUAACACAUGCAAGUCGAACGGGGAUUUGUUUCGGCGAGAAUCCUAGUGGCGAACGGGUGAGGUAACGCGUAGGCAACCUGCCCUCCGGCCGGGGGACAACACUCCGAAAGGGGUGCUAAUACCGGAUACGAAGUCUGUGCCGCAUGGUACGGAUUUGAAAGAUGGCCUCUAUUUAUAAGCUAUCGCCGGGGGAUGGGCCUGCGUCCGAUUAGCUGGUUGGUGGGUAACGGCCUACCAAGGCGACGAUCGGUAGCCGGUCUGAGAGGAUGAACGGCCACAUUGGGACUGAGACACGGCCCAGACUCCUACGGGAGGCAGCAGUGGGGAAUCUUCCGCGAUGGGCGCAAGCCUGACGGAGCAACGCCGCGUGAGUGAGGAAGUUCUUCGGAACGUAAAGCUCUGUUGUUCCUGACGAACCUCCCUUCUAUCAACAACGGAGGGGACUGACGGUAGGGAACGAGGAAGCCACGGCUAACUACGUGCCAGCCGCUGC
rnacentral:rRNA from 1 species